rnacentral:rRNA from 1 species
AGAGUUUGAUCAUGGCUCAGGAUGAACGCUAGCUACAGGCUUAACACAUGCAAGUCGAGGGGCAUCAGGAAGAAAGCUUGCUUUCUUUGCUGGCGACCGGCGCACGGGUGAGUAACACGUAUCCAACCUGCCCUUUACUCGGGGAUAGCCUUUCGAAAGAAAGAUUAAUACCCGAUAGCAUAAUGAUUCCGCAUGGUUUCAUUAUUAAAGGAUUCCGGUAAAGGAUGGGGAUGCGUUCCAUUAGGUUGUUGGUGAGGUAACGGCCCACCAAGCCUUCGAUGGAUAGGGGUUCUGAGAGGAAGGUCCCCCACAUUGGAACUGAGACACGGUCCAAACUCCUACGGGAGGCAGCAGUGAGGAAUAUUGGUCAAUGGGCGCUAGCCUGAACCAGCCAAGUAGCGUGAAGGAUGAAGGCUCUAUGGGUCGUAAACUUCUUUUAUAUAAGAAUAAAGUGCAGUAUGUAUACUGUUUUGUAUGUAUUAUAUGAAUAAGGAUCGGCUAACUCCGUGCCAGCAGCCGCGGUAAUACGGAGGAUCCGAGCGUUAUCCGGAUUUAUUGGGUUUAAAGGGAGCGUAGGUGGACUGGUAAGUCAGUUGUGAAAGUUUGCGGCUCAACCGUAAAAUUGCAGUUGAUACUGUCAGUCUUGAGUACAGUAGAGGUGGGCGGAAUUCGUGGUGUAGCGGUGAAAUGCUUAGAUAUCACGAAGAACUCCGAUUGCGAAGGCAGCUCACUGGACUGCAACUGACACUGAUGCUCGAAAGUGUGGGUAUCAAACAGGAUUAGAUACCCUGGUAGUCC